ACGGGAGGCAGCAGUGAGGAAUAUUGGUCAAUGGGCGGAAGCCUGAACCAGCCAAGUCGCGUGAAGGAUGAAGGUAUUAUGUAUUGUAAACUUCUUUAGCAGCAGAGUAAUAAGGGGGUCGUGACCUCCGAUGCAAGUAUGCUGAGAAUAAGGAUCGGCUAAUUCCGUGCCAGCAGCCGCGGUAAUACGGAAGGUCCGGGCGUUAUCCGGAUUUAUUGGGUUUAAAGGGAGCGUAGGCGGGCCUUUAAGUCAGUGGUAAAAGCGUGUGGCUCAACCAUACCACGCCAUUGAAACUGGAGGCCUUGAGUGCACACAGGGAUGCUGGAAUUCGUCGUGUAGCGGUGAAAUGCUUAGAUAUGACGAAGAACUCCGAUCGCGAAGGCAGGUGUCCGGGGUGUAACUGACGCUGAGGCUCGAAAGUGCGGGUAUCAAACAGGAUUAGAUACCCUGGUA
rnacentral:rRNA from 1 species